GGCGUCGCCUAGUCCGGUCUAUGGCGCCGCACUGCUAAUGCGGUUUGGGUUUUAAAGCCCAUCGAGGGUUCAAAUCCCUCCGCCUCCGCUCCA
rnacentral:tRNA from 1 species